UAUCAAUAUUUUAUUUGAAUUUCUUCUGCGAAUAUUACGUGUCAAUCAUGUGAUUCUGUUCUGCUUUACUAUACAAACAAAAAUUUUAAUUAAGCAUGGAAAUAAAAUGUCAGUGAAAAUAAAAUGAAAAAAGAAUAAAGAUUGCAUCAUCCGAAGAGGUGUCAGCCAAAUGUAAAGGAUAGGAAGGGAAAGAAAGAAGAUUCAUGCCAUUGCUGUGUGCCAGCUUCAGCAUGGAAAUUUAAUUAGCGACACCCGAGUGAACCAGCUACAACAACAUCAAUGAUAGCAAACACACACACACUCUACAUAGAGAUACGCCUACACAUAAUGGAGGACAAAAAGGGCCAGCGAAGUAAAAGUAAACAAAUAAUACCAAAAAAAAAAAAAGGGAAAAAAUUAAGAAAAAUAAAUCAUGCGAGCAGAAGAAGAAGAGCUACAAAAUGUGUUCAGCUUUCGCAUGACGCCAGCAAACAGCAGCGACUGCGACAGCGACCGAGGCAGAGCCAGCAAAUGGUAAACAGCAAUAGCAGCAGCAAUAAAGGAAGGAACAAUGAAAAUGCAGCAGCAGAGAGUCGUCGCCUAGCCAGCCCUCCCUUGCCCACUGUUGCUGCUGCAACUGACGUUGGCGCGCUGUGUGUGCGAGCGAGCGGACAAACAAAAAUGGCGCAUGACAUGCGCACUGAGCAAGCGGCUAACUUGAACUUGAAAAUGUUUUUAUUGUUGCGCUUGUCGUCAUCGAAGGUUGUGUGUGUGUUCCAUUUAAUAUGACGCGACUGCGACACCAGCAGAGCACAGAGAGCAGCGCAAAGCCGGCAACUAACAAAAAAAGAGUGGAAAGCAACGAAGAGAGACUGGGACAGAGACACAACGAGCGGGAGACGCAGAGAGUAAGAGAGCGCAGCGAGGGCGUAAGCAAGAGUGAGCACGCUGCUAGGCUAAGCUUGCUAGCAGCAGGUAUGUAUAUAUGUAUGGAUAUGUGUGUGUGUGUAUAUAUGUAUGCAUAUAUGUCUGCACCAUGUGAGAGGUAAAUAAGUCAAUGUGAAAAGAAAAACAAAAACAAACGACGAAGUGAGAGAAUGCGAAAGCUUUUUAUUAUAGCUUUUGCGUGGGUGACUUAAAGCAGCGCAGUUGCGUCGCUGCCGACGUCUGACAACUGUUUGCUUUUGUUGUAUGCCCCAUAGCCAGCUGCCCGAAACUUUCUCUUUCGCUGCGUCAAUGUGUGUGCAUGUGUAUAUGCGUGUGUGGGCGUGUGAGUGAAUAAUGCUGUUGCAUAUUUACUGGGAUACAAUGACGCGCACCUGUGCGAACACAGCUGCAGCCAACAGGAUGCUGUUGCGGCUGCGAUGCCUAGUUGCCAGCCCGUCACACAGUUAUUCAGUUCUUCAGUGGUUCAGUGUCGAACGCACUCCCGUCGAGGUCAGGCAGCUACGAAACGAAGCACAGUUGCCAUACAUGCAUACAUACAUACAUACAUGCAUACAUAUAAAUAAAUAACUAUCUAUAUAGAUAAGUUAGUAUGUCUGUGUGGAAUUGCUAUAUGAGUGGGUUAAUUGUGUGACGCGUUGCUCGAAGUAAAAGAAGCAGACAAAAAAAAAAAAAAACAAUUU
rnacentral:sRNA from 1 species